GUAGGUGGCAAGCGUUGUCCGGAAUUAUUGGGCGUAAAGCGCGCGCAGGCGGUCCUUUAAGUCUGAUGUGAAAGCCCACGGCUCAACCGUGGAGGGUCAUUGGAAACUGGGGGACUUGAGUACAGAAGAGGAAAGCGGAAUUCCAAGUGUAGCGGUGAAAUGCGUAGAGAUUUGGAGGAACACCAGUGGCGAAGGCGGCUUUCUGGUCUGUAACUGACGCUGAGGCGCGAAAGCGUGGGGAGCAAACAGGAUUAGAUACCCUAGUAGUCCACGCCGUAAACGAUGAGUGCUAAGUGUUAGGGGGUUUCCCGCCCCCUUAGUGCUGCAGCUAACGCAUUAAGCACUCCGCCUGGGGGAGUACGGCCGCAAGGCUG
rnacentral:rRNA from 1 species